rnacentral:pre_miRNA from 1 species
UCUUCAUGUCUCGUGCUCUCUCACCGGUCAGAGAGGCGAGAUAGUGUUUGAAAUGAAGAGA